AGUGGUUGUAGACGCGAAACCUUGCGAUCUACCCUUGAGCAGGUUGAAGGUUGGGUAAAACCAACUGGAGGACCGAACGAAUAAGCGUUGAAAAGCUUCUCGAUGACUUGAGGGUAGGGGUGAAAGGCUAAUCAAGCUGGGAAAUAGCUCGUACUCCCCGAAAUGCCUUUUGGGGCAGCGUUGUAAUAAAGAGUCUACUGGAGGUAGAGCUACUGAUUGGAUGCGGGGGCUUCACCGCCUACCAAAUCCUGACAAACUCCGAAUGCCAGUAGUAUGAUUUACAGCAGUGAGUGACUGGGUGCUAAUGUCCAGUCGCAAAAGAGGAACAACUCAGACCAGCAACUAAGGUCCCGAAGAAUAUGCUAAGUUGAUCUAACGAUGUUUUGUUGCAGAGACAGCUAGGAUGUUAGCUUGGAAGCAGCUAUUCAUUCAAAGAGUGCGUAACAGCUCACUAGUCGAGCGACAGAGCGUGGAUAAUAAACGGGCAUCAAGCAUAUCACCGAAGUUCUGGGCGCGAGAGCGCGGUAGGGGAGCAUUCCAUUCAGCGUCGAAGCAGUUUCGUGAGGAAUUGUGGAGCGUAUGGAAAAGCAAAUGUAGGCAUGAGUAACGAUAAUGCGGGAGAGUAACCCGCACACCGCAAGACCAAGGUUUCCUGAUCAACGCUAAUCGGAUCAGGGUUAGUCGGGUCCUAAGGGUAAGCCGAACGGCGAUCUCGAUGGAUAAUCGGUUAAUAUUCCGAUACUAACAUAUACCUCGAUGGAGAGACGAAGGAACGUAAGUGCCGCCACCUGACGGAAUAGGUGGUUAAAGGGCGUAGGUAUAGGGGCAGAUUAAGAGUUAGUCCUUGCUGAAACCUGACAGUACAGAGAGCCUACGGGCAAUUUGAUAGAGCACCCAAGUCGACUUCCGAGAAAAUCUUCUAAGUUAUAGUAUAUGUUACCCGUACCGUAAACCGACACAGGUGGUCGAGGAGAGUAUCCUAAGGUGCUCGAGUGAAUCACGGUUAAGGAACUAGGCAAAUUAACCCCGUAACUUCGGGAAAAGGGGUCCCUAUGAAAGUAGGGCGCAGCGAAGAGGUCCAGGCGACUGUUUAUCAAAAACACAGGGCUCUGCAAAUUCGAAAGAAGACGUAUAGGGCCUGACACCUGCCCGGUGCUGGAAGGUUAAGAGGGGAUGUCAUCGCAAGAGAAGCAUUGAAUCGAAGCCCCAGUAAACGGCGGCCGUAACUAUAACGGUCCUAAGGUAGCGAAAUUCCUUGUCGGGUAAGUUCCGACCUG
rnacentral:rRNA from 1 species